AGCUCCAAUAGCGUAUAUUAAAGUUGCUGCAGUUAAAAAGCUCGUAGUUGCAUUUCCGAGGCAAGGGAUUAGUCCGACCUUUGGUGGGUAUUUAAUCCUCUUGCCUCGUCCUUGAGUGGUGCUUCUUGGUAUUAAGUUAUCGAGGAGAUAGCCGCUCAUCGUUUACUGUGAGAAAAUUAGAGUGUUCAAAGCAGGCUUAUGCCGUUGAAUAUAUUAGCAUGGAAUAAUAAGAUAGGACCUCGGUACUAUUUUGGUGGUUUGAGAACCAAGGUAAUUAUGAAUAGGGACAGUUGGGGGUAUUCGUAUUCAGUUGUCAGAGGUGAAAUUCUUAGAUUUACGGAAGACGAACUACUGCGAAAGCAUUUACCAAGGAUGUUUUCA
rnacentral:rRNA from 1 species